GAUCAUGGCUCAGGAUGAACGCUGGCGGCAUGCCUAAUACAUGCAAGUCGAACGAGAGGAAGCAAGCUUGCUUGUGGAAUCUAGUGGCGAACGGGUGAGUAACACGUAGGUAACCUGCCCCAACGACCGGGAUAACGAUUGGAAACGAUAGCUAAUACCGGAUAGGUGGCACCUUCGCAUGAAGGGGCCAUUAAAGUUGCUACGGCAGCACGAUGGGAUGGACCUGCGGUGCAUUAG
rnacentral:rRNA from 1 species